rnacentral:rRNA from 1 species
CAGCCGUAAACUAUGCGCGUUAGGUGUACUGGUGACCACGAGUCACCGGGGUGCCGAAGAGAAAUCGUGAAACGCACCACCUGGGAAGUACGGUCGCAAGGCUGAAACUUAAAGGAAUUGGCGGGGGAGCACCACAACAGGUGGAGCCUGCGGUUUAAUUGGAUUCAACGCCGGACAUCUCACCGGAUAAGACAGCUGAAUGAUUGUCAAUCUGAAGGUUUUACAUGACUAGCUGAGAGGUGGUGCAUGGCGUCAGUGACU